rnacentral:rRNA from 1 species
AGUGAACGCUGGCGGUAGGCCUAACACAUGCCAGUCAAACGGCAGCACAGUAAGAGCUUGCUCUUACGGGUGGCGAGUGGCGGACGGGUGAGGAAUACAUCGGAAUCUACUUUUUCGUGGGGGAUAACGUAGGGAAACUUACGCUAAUACCGCAUACGACCUACGGGUGAAAGCAGGGGAUCUUCGGACCUUGCGCGAUUGAAUGAGCCGAUGUCGGAUUAGCUAGUUGGCGGGGUAAAGGCCCACCAAGGCGACGAUCCGUAGCUGGUCUGAGAGGAUGAUCAGCCACACUGGAACUGAGACACGGUCCAGACUCCUACGGGAGGCAGCAGUGGGGAAUAUUGGACAAUGGGCGCAAGCCUGAUCCAGCCAUACCGCGUGGGUGAAGAAGGCCUUCGGGUUGUAAAGCCCUUUUGUUGGGAAAGAAAAGCAGCAGGUUAAUACCCCGCUGUUCUGACGGUACCCAAAGAAUAAGCACCGGCUAACUUCGUG